GAUGAGACACUGAGGCUCGAGGAAAGCGCAGAUGCAGGCCCAGUGCCUUGCCUGGUCUGCAGCAGCACUGAGAGUGCACUUUUGACUACGUUUUGUGGCUUCUGUGACAACUAUGUCCGUAGUUAUUCUUUUCAAACUUUAUUUCACGCGCAUUCAGAAUAAACGAUGCAUGCGUAUAGGACGUACUUGGAACCCCGGAGACGUCCUACUGUAUGUACUCUCACUUUUAUCUUUUAAACAAAAAGAAAAAUGAAUAUGACAUAUAGUAUUUGAGACAUGGUUCCUCAGGCAAUCAGAGGAGCUGCUAGGUAUUAAUAAAGAAUAGCAUUUGGGGCCACUGCAGUGCCUGUAAUCCCAGCACUUCGUGAUUUUACUUGCUUUAGGUAAGGAGUUCGAGACCAGCCUGAGCGACAUAGAGAGAGCUGGUCUCUGCAAAAAAUUAAAAUUUAAAAAAUGAUUACCCAGACGUGGUGGUGCACAACUGUGGUCCCAGCUACUGGAGAAGCUGAGAUGGGAUGAUCCCUUGAGCCCAGGAGAUUGAGGCUGCAGUGAGCUUUGCACCACACUCCAGCCUGGGUGACUAAGCAAAUUAGUACUUUCGAAAAUACUGUUUCUUUUCUUCUUCUUCUUUUUUUUUUUUAACUAGUUCUUUAGAAAAAUAUCCAGUAUUUUGGAAAUUACUAAUUUAUGCUUCAGAUAGCUAUCUGCGCAUGUCCCAUUGUCACAGGUAAUGGUCCCUUUAGGUAUCUUAUUAACGAAAGAAGAGAAAAAGAGGAUUCAACUGUCUUGUCACAACUACAACAUAAGAGAAUAAUUAUUUAGAUGGCGUGAGUGUGAGUUGGAGCUGCCAGGAAACUCUUCAAGGAGGAAGUGGUGUUCCAUCUGAACCCUGAAGAAUGGGUACGAUGUGGACACUGAAAGGAAAGGGAAGAAUAUAAGCAAAGCCCAAUAUGUUCCUAGACAUAGGAAAGAUCACCUGUGCCCCCAGCAAAGAACCAACGGUAAGCAAUGGAGAGAAAACUUUGGAACUAAAGUAGGGAAGGCCUUGAAUGUGUAAUGCAGAAAUUAGGCUGAGCUAAGUAACAAGUUCUGUUAUUACAACACUGGAAAAAUUAAUCUUAGAAGACUAAUUUAUGGAAAGAGUGUCCAGAAUGACUAAAAGGAUCUAUCUAGAAAAGAUUAGCUAAAAGUUGCUGAAAUGCUCUAAUAAUGGAGGAAAGAAAAGUCUAGUUAUUGGCAGUAUGAAUGGAGAAGAAAUCUAAAAAUAUUUAAUUUUUGAACGAAGAUAUAUCAGAAUUUAAAUGAUUAACUUAAAAAUUUUCAGCCAGGCUCCAUGGCUCACACCCAUAAUCCCAGCAUUUUGGGAGGCAGAGGCAUGGGGAUCACUUGAGCCCAGGAGUAGACCAGCCUAGGCAACAGAGGAAGACCCUGUCUCUACAAAUAAUUUUAAAAAUUAGCCGAGUGUGGUGGUGCACACCUGUAGUCCCAGCUACUCACGGGAGUCAAAGGCAGGAGGAACACCUGAGCCCUCGAGGUCAAGGCUGCCAUGAGCCAUGAUCAUGCACUACAGCCUGGGCAACAGAGCAACAGCCUGCCUCAAAACAAACAGACAAACAAAACCCUUACCUGCAAAGAGGACUUGGAAGCUAGGAAAAUGGUGAUGCUAUUAACAAAAAAAUGGAAAAGUUGACAAAAAGGACUAUACCAGGUUUUUAAGAUAGAUAAAUAGAUAGUUUUGUUUUGUUUUGUUUUGUUUUGAAACAGAGUCUCACCCUGUGGCCAGGCAGGAGUGCAGUGGCACGAUCUUGGAUCACUGCAACCUCCACCUCCCAGGUUCAAGAGAUUUUCCUGUCUCAGCCUCCUGAGUAGCUGGGACUACAGGUGCGUGCCACCUUGCCCAACUAAUUUUUAUAUUUUUAGUAGAGAUGGGGUUUCACCAUUUUGGCCAGGAUGGUCUGAAUCUCUUGAGCUUGUGAUCUGCCCACCUUGGCCUCCCAAAGUGCUGGGAUUACAGUGAGCUGCCCACCUUGGCCUCCCAAAGUGCUGGGAUUACAGGUGUGAGCCACCAUACCUGGCCAGAUAUAUUAUUUUUUAUCCUUCACUCUCUGCAUGUACCAUUCUCUUCCUGCCUACAAGAUUAAUGAUUAGUGUGUUUUAAAGAAACCUAUCUUGAAUUAAUUGUUUUAAUUUUCCAGGGAAAAAAAUAAAAUAAAAUAAAAUAAAGAAACCUAUCAAAAGAAUGCUGUGACACUUACUGCACUUUUUAAAGAUUUUAUUAUCAUUUUUAUUUUUAUUUAGAGGCAGAGUCUUGCUCUGUAGCUCAGGCUGGAGUGCAGCAGUGUGAUCCUAGCUGACUGCAGCUUUCAACUCCUGGGCUCAAGGUGAUUCUCCUGCCUCAGCCUCCAGAGUAGCUGGGACUAGAGGCACAUGCCACUACACUGGGCUAUUUUAAUUUUUUUUAUAGAGACAGGAUCUAACUGUGUUGCCCAGGCUGGUCUCCAACGCCUGGGCUGAGGCGAUGCUCCAGCCUUGGCCACCCAAAGUGCUGGGAUUAUAGGCAUGAGCCACAAUGCCUGGCCCAUAUUAUUAUUUUAAACUCAAGCGGAAAAAAAGAAUUCAAACAUGAGAUCCCAGAACAAGAGCAUUAAAAGAAAGAAUUGAAGUCAUGAAGAAAACAAAACAUCCAGAUGAAGGCAACUGAGCAGACUUUAAUACUUAUCCCAAGAAACCAGGAACUGUUUACAUGCUGAUAUUUCCCAUUGCUGCCAAAAUCCAGGAAUCAUAGACCAUCAAGAACUGCUUUGUGCUAGACACAGUGUAAGGGUUAGUAAGUCAUAGAACUCAUCCUCAAUAAAGGUAGAUGUAAACAGACUCCUCUGUGUCUCCUCUAUCAUAGCAUUUAUUAUGUGAUAUUGUCAGGUACAUGGGGGGAGCAUUGAGGUGGGUGAUAGCAUCUUGGAAAGCUUCAGAAAUGAUGUGUGGAUUAAAUCUCAGAUGUUGAGUCAGAGCUGUCCAGAUAAUUAGGAGAAGCAUAGGGACAGCCACGGAGGUAUGAAGAGGGUCCCUCUUGGCAGAAUGAAGCAACAGGCUGCCUUUUGGCUGAGGCUCCACUUUGACAAAGAAACUUCGAUGUGUACACAGUCACUGGGAUCAACUCACAGGACUAUAAUAAAAAGGAGGAUAUUCAUCAUACAAAUCUAAACUCAUUUCAUCAACUGGCAAAAUCCAAAAAGGAUUCAUGACCCACCAGAAAUCUCAGAGGCUUCUUGUCAAGAUCUCAAGAGUUCCUCCAUCUCUACACGGCAUUCAAAUUUUAAGAAGCUAGAGUCUUGCUCUGUUGCCCAAGCUGGAGUGCACUGGUGUGAUCUCGGCUGACUGCAACAUCCACCUCCUGGGUUCAAGCAAGUCUCCUGCCUCAGCCUCCUGAGUAGGAAUGCAAGAUUUCUUGCUUCCAUGAUGAUGGAAGGCAAGUAACUCCUUUAUAGAGUUUGAGCUUGCUCCCAGCAGGGAAGACGAGUUCAAGUUUUUUCCUGCUUUAAGGAUGGUAAGGAGCAGUCAGUCUUCAGCCUGAGACUUAUCCCUAGGUGAAGUGCAAUGGUGUGAUCUCAGCUCACUGCAACUUCUGCCUCCUGGUUCAAGUAAUUCUCCUGCCUCAGCCUCCUGAGGAGCUGGAACUACAGACAUGUGCCACCAUGCCCGGCUAAUUUUUGUCUUGUCAGUAGAAACAGGAUUUCACCAUAUUGACCAGGCUGGUCUCAAACUCCUGACCUCAGGUGAUCCACCCACUUUGGCCUCCUAAAGUGUUGGGAUUACAGGCCUGAGCCAUCACACCCAGCCAGAUGUAGUAAUAUUAAUAGUUCAUUAUUACUUGAGGAGGGGGACAAAAGGGAGAAAAGUGAGCCACUGUGCCCAGCCUAUCAGGUGCUCUGGAAUGCAGGUUUCUGAUAACUUUGGAGAUUGUGACAUCAGAAUAGAGGGAAAACUUUCGGGAUUCAUGGAGAUCUGAAAUAUUUAUGAAUAUUAAGUACAACAGGAAUUAAAUGCAUGGACUGAACUGAUAGAGGACUGAAGUAAAUCUUUUUGACUUUUUGCUUGAAACGUUACUGAUUUUUUGUUUUGUUUUUUUCAGAAUCAAGGCACUGUUUCUUUUGAGCUAUUGACAACUUUUAACGUGUUAGUAUACUCCUCUGAACAAAAUUUGGAGUGUGUUUGUUUCUCUCUGCCUGAUUUCUCCAGAAUUUGGAAGCUGUUUGUGAGCAUUCUUAACUUAUGACAAUACAGUUAUUUGCAUAAGUGCAAUAAGAAUCUGUGUUCAUUUGUAGUAGGACACACUUGGAGAAACUGGUUAUUUUUUCAAGUUGUAAAAUAACUUUGACUGGAAUGGUGUAUUUUCCUUUCCAAAUCAAACUUGACUUAUGCAGCCAAUAAAAACUCCUUGGGAAAACUUGCCUGAUACCUUUGUUUACAUAGUCCAUAUACAGGGUUCCUGGCCUGUGGUAAGUAAGGAAUGUCACUUUCUGAUAGGCCCCAGAGCCUCAAGUUUAUCUUGGGCCCUUAAGAGAGGAAUUCACCCAACUCACAGGUAUUUGAUGGUACAAAUCCAUGGCUGGGCUCAGCUUUAAAAACUCUUAUCUAACAUUCCUUCUAUGGAACAAAGUUUCAUCGAAGCCAAUGUGAAAGAAUGUAAAAAAAUUAUUCUUGCUGCACUCUAUACAAAUAAUCAGGCCAAGUGUAAUACAGCAAAUCAGUCUCACUAUGAUUUGUCUUUAGUAAAAAUGGGAAACUGGAGAGAGAAAAAUUAUGUUUCAAAAACUAUAGUACACCUGUUGUUAGAUUAUAGUCUUGCCUAAUGUUUUUCUAUUUUUAUUAUUUUCUACAGUUUGAACUGAAUUUUAAUUUUUUUUGGCUACAAGUCUUCAAAAUAAUGUUUUCCAUUUUUUUCUUAUUUUUCCCCUAUUUUUUUUCUGAUUUGGAGUCACUGAAAACUAAGCUGUGCUUUCUUAAAGCCCUGUGAACUGAAGCUAGACACCUUAAACUUCAGAAUAAAAUAACAGUAACCCGUUUACAUACAUAAGCCACUUUCAUACUUGCCUACUGAUAUAUGGACUUGAGAGUAAUGUGGCUUAUUCAACAAACAAGCAUUUAUUGAGUACAAAAAACAAAGAAGAGUAAUGUGGCUUAUAUUGAUUUUCCAGGAUUAUUCUUUUGUUUUUAGUUUAUUCCCCCUCCCUCCUCCUAUUUUCUCUUAAUAAGACAUGAAACUUUACAACCUGCUAAAAGGAGCUCUCCUAAUAACUUAUGAUCUACCUGUCUACCAUCCUGGCCAUGAGAGAUCAGAUGAAGCCUGAGACCAGAGACUCAUUUUCUUCUAAAAUGCUUUCUCCAAAAUAUUUUUUAAAAAAGAACAAGGGAAAUGUGAGAGGAAAAUAAAUCUUGGAGUCCCCGAAUCACUAAGCUAAAGGGAAAAGUCAAGUUGAUGACUGUGUAGGGCAAACCCACCUCCCAUUUUAUUCAAAGUCACCCCUCUGUUCACUGAGAUAAAUUCAUAUCUGAUUGCCUCCUUUGGAGAGGCUAAUCAGAUAAAUGCCUCCUUUGGAGAGACUAAUUAGAUAACUUAAAAGAAUGCAACCAUUUUCCUCUUAUUUACCUAUGACCUGGAAUCCUCCUCUGUGCUUCAAGUUAUCCCACAUUUCAGAACCAAUAUUCAUCUCACAUAUGCUGACUGAUGUCUUGUGUCUCCCUAAAAUGUAUAAAACCAUACUGUGCUAUGACCAGCUUGGGCACAUGUUGUCGGGACCUCCUGAGGCUGUGUCACUAGUGUGCAUCCUCAGCCUUGGCAAAAUAAACUUUCUAAAUCAA